rnacentral:rRNA from 14 species
GUUUGAUCCUGGCUCAGAAUGAACGCUGGCGGCGUGCUUAACACAUGCAAGUCGAACGAGAAAGUACCUUCGGGUGCGAGUAGAGUGGCGCACGGGUGAGUAACACGUAGGUAAUCUGCCUUUUGGUGGGGGAUAACCAGGAGAAAUCCUGGCUAAUACCGCAUAAGUUGGUAACAAGAAAGGAUGCUCCGGCAUUCGCCGAAAGAUGAGCCUGCGGAACAUUAGCUUGAUGGUGGGGUAACGGCCUACCAUGGCUUCGAUGUUUAGCUGGUCUGAGAGGAUGAUCAGCCACACUGGAACUGAGACACGGUCCAGACUCCUACGGGAGGCAGCAGUGGGGAAUUUUCUGCAAUGGGCGAAAGCCUGACAGAGCAAUACCGCGUGAGGGAUGACAGUCCUAUGGAUUGUAAACCUCUUUUUUCAGGGAGGAAGUUCUGACGUUACCUGAAGAAUAAGCAUCGGCUAACUCCGUGCCAGCAGCCGCGGUAAUACGGAGGAUGCAAGUGUUAUCCGGAAUCACUGGGCGUAAAGCGUCUGUAGGUGGUUUAAUAAGUCAACUGUUAAAUCUUGAGGCUCAACUUCAAAAUCGCAGUCGAAACUAUUAGACUAGAGUAUAGUAGAGGUAAAGGGAAUUUCCAGUGGAG